rnacentral:rRNA from 1 species
GAGUUUGAUCAUGGCUCAGGAUGAACGCUGGCGGCGUGCUUAACACAUGCAAGUCGAACGAACCUUCGGGUUAGUGGCGGACGGGUGAGUAACGCGUGGGAAUCUGCCCUCAGGAGGGGGAUAACGGUUGGAAACGACCGCUAAUACCCCAUAUGCCGAGAGGUGAAAUGAAUUUCGCCUGAGGAUGAGCCCGCGUCUGAUUAGCUUGUUGGUGAGGUAAUGGCUCACCAAGGCUUCGAUCAGUAGCUGGUCUGAGAGGAUGAUCAGCCACACUGGGACUGAGACACGGCCCAGACUCCUACGGGAGGCAGCAGUGGGGAAUUUUCCGCAAUGGGCGAAAGCCUGACGGAGCAACGCCGCGUGAGGGACGAAGGCCUCUGGGCUGUAAACCUCUUUUCUCAAGGAAGAAGAUAUGACGGUACUUGAGGAAUAAGCCACGGCUAAUUCCGUGCCAGCAGCCGCGGUAAUACGGGAGUGGCAAGCGUUAUCCGGAAUUAUUGGGCGUAAAGCGUCCGCAGGCGGCCUUUCAAGUCUGCUGUUAAAGCGUGGAGCUUAACUCCAUCAUGGCAGUGGAAACUGAUUGGCUUGAGUAUGGUAGGGGCAGAGGGAAUUCCCGGUGUAGCGGUGAAAUGCGUAGAUAUCGGGAAGAACACCAGUGGCGAAGGCGCUCUGCUGGGCCAUUACUGACGCUCAUGGACGAAAGCCAGGGGAGCGAAAGGGAUUAGAUACCCCUGUAGUCCUGGCCGUAAACGAUGAACACUAGGUGUCGGGGGGAAUCGACCCCUUCGGUGUCGUAGCUAACGCGUUAAGUGUUCCGCCUGGGGAGUACGCACGCAAGUGUGAAACUCAAAGGAAUUGACGGGGGCCCGCACAAGCGGUGGAGUAUGUGGUUUAAUUCGAUGCAACGCGAAGAACCUUACCAGGGCUUGACAUCCUGCGAACCUUUAAGAAAUUAGAGGGUGCCUUCGGGAACGCAGUGACAGGUGGUGCAUGGCUGUCGUCAGCUCGUGUCGUGAGAUGUUGGGUUAAGUCCCGCAACGAGCGCAACCCACGUUUUUAGUUGCCAGCAUUUAGUUGGGCACUCUAGAAAGACCGCCGGUGAUAAACCGGAGGAAGGUGUGGAUGACGUCAAGUCAUCAUGCCCCUUACGUCCUGGGCUACACACGUACUACAAUGCUACGGACAAAGGGCAGCAAACUCGCGAGAGCUAGCAAAUCCCAUAAACCGUGGCUCAGUUCAGAUCGUAGGCUGCAACUCGCCUACGUGAAGUAGGAAUCGCUAGUAAUCGCAGGUCAGCAUACUGCGGUGAAUACGUUCCCGGGCCUUGUACACACCGCCCGUCACACCAUGGAAGUUGGCCACGCCCGAAGUCGUUACUUUAACCCUUGUGGAGAAGGACGCCGAAGGUGGGGCUGAUGACUGGGGUGAAGUCGUAACAAGGUAACC